rnacentral:snoRNA from 1 species
UGGAUCAACGAUGACUCCUGGUGGUGUGUGAGUUACAUACGCUGAACACGUAUCUGACUUCCAA